rnacentral:rRNA from 1 species
UACGAAGGGGGCUAGCGUUGCUCGGAAUCACUGGGCGUAAAGCGCACGUAGGCGGCUUUCUAAGUCAGGGGUGAAAUCCUGGAGCUCAACUCCAGAACUGCCUUUGAUACUGGGAAGCUCGAGUCCGGAAGAGGUGAGUGGAACUGCGAGUGUAGAGGUGAAAUUCGUAGAUAUUCGCAAGAACACCAGUGGCGAAGGCGGCUCACUGGUCCGGUACUGACGCUGAGGUGCGAAAGCGUGGGGAGCAAAC